rnacentral:rRNA from 1 species
AUACGUAGGGGGCAAGCGUUAUCCGGAUUUACUGGGUGUAAAGGGAGCGUAGACGGCAGUGCAAGUCUGAAGUGAAAGCCCGGGGCUCAACCCCGGGACUGCUUUGGAAACUGCAUAGCUUGAGUACCGGAGGGGUAAGCGGAAUUCCUAGUGUAGCGGUGAAAUGCGUAGAUAUUAGGAGGAACACCAGUGGCGAAGGCGGCUUACUGGACGGUAACUGACGUUGAGGCUCGAAAGCGUGGGGAGC